GUGUAUUCUGUACCAGUUGCCUUGUUUGAGGGUCAACCUGCUGUCCAGGAUUUGGUUGCAUUUGUGAAAUUUUAAAUGCCAGUUCACCAGUGCAUCAGCCUGCAUGCCGUUUGAGGGUUGCCCCCCUGAAGACCUCUUUUGGGCCAAUAUGCAAGUGAAAAAAUAUAAUUUAUCUGGAAACUCAGAAGUUCAAUAAAGACAAAUUUCUUUUUAAAAAUCUG